rnacentral:misc_RNA from 1 species
AGCAAUUUUACGAUCCUUGAGGAGGUACCAUGAGGUACCACUUUUUCUAUUGUAAAUUUGGUACCUCUUGGUAUCUAGGUACUAUGAGGUGCCAAAUUUUACACUAAAUUUUUGUACCUCAUGGUACCUCCUCAAGGACCAUAAAAUUCC